AGUCGUCCGUGACAAUUUUGCCCUCUUAUCUCCACACCACGCAUGAUAAAUACCUAUUACGUUUUUUACGAACAUGUUAUUGCUAUCAAGUGUGCCUCACCUGUGACGAAAUUUUGAGAGCAAUAGUGCAAUAGUCCAAAGUACCUAAUACCAACGAACGUAAUUUUAUCGGCUCAUGUGGAAUAUACAGCUACGUCGAGUUUUAUUCGAUCUUCAAAAAUUCACAAUUUUUCAUUUUUUCCACUCAUAAUUUCUACAUUUUCAAAUAGAAUCAAUUUCGAAUAUUCGGCAAAAAAUAUGUCUUAUGCGUUAAGUAAACGCUUGUGAACAGCGCUUAUCUAUACAUAUUAUUUAUUUAUUGUCAUCGCGAGUGUUAUUAGAAUUGAAAAUGUCGUUUUAUUUGAAUUGAAUUCAUAUUUCAUUUAAUUGCUGUGCUUGUUGGAUGUAAGGCUCUACCGGCUCCAAAAAACUUUAACAUCAGAGAUCAAGAUGCUGUUUAUAUAUUUCGAUAUGCUAUUAAGCUGUGGCAUCAUUCGAAGAAGAAUGUCUUCAUGAAUUUGGUGGAAGAUAUCAAGAAGUCAUGAGCAAAAAAUUACUUACAUGAAUUUAACCAUGCGAGGAUCUUUUACAUUCCCAAAGAAUGAAUUGAAACUGAAUCUCGGUUUGUCAUUAUUCAUCGCCAGGAAAAGUACGUAAUAAGGAUUUGGCAAUCUCAUUUACUUUGCCAACGUGUAUGUCUUCAACUCUAUUACAACUAUGAGUAUGUACAUAAUAGAUAUGGAGAUCUUGAACUACUUGUACCUACUUGGCCAGUUGGCCAUCAUUUCGACCGACGAAUUCAAAAAUUAUUUUGCACGAGCUAUAGUUCUAAAAAAUUCAAGGUGUUCGCGAAAAUAUAUCAAAAUAUAUAGUCAAUCUUAACACUUUGCCCAAUAGACUACUUCCUGAAAGAGAAACAGAUUAAAUAUUAUUUUUCUGAAAUUUCAUUUCAGUGUCGUACUUGUAACAUAUUUUAAGUGAUUUUUUUAACGUAAAAAAAUGAGGAAAAUCCACGAGUUUGAAAAAUAUAUGUAUUGUAAAAGCUUGAAAAAUAUUUUAAAAAUAAUGAAUCAGCUUUAAAAUGUUGAUUCUACAAUACUUAGUUGGUGAAAUUUAGGAAGAAAGGGAUUGUCAGUUUUUAAAAAUAUGAAUUUAAAAAAAACUUUCAUACCUAUAACAAAAAGGAAGAUACACUUGCUCUGAAUAUAAGUGUUAUUCCUUUUUUUUAUUUAUUUUAAAAUAGUCUUGCUCAACUAUUCGGUGAAAAUCAUAGGUAGGUAAUUCACGUAUUUUUUGUUAAUUUUUUCUUAUAAGUACGGUAACAAUUUGAUUAACGUUUUCGAAAUUCCGCGAUUUUUCUAGAAUUUAAUUUCGUCAUCAUUACUUAUCAACAACCUUUUUUUGAUACAAAUACUAAUCCUUUUAAUUUUUCAUAUUUUUGAUUUCUUCAUCUUAAUUUUUCUGAACUAACUGUUGAAAUUGAUAUUCAAAAAUUGUCUUAUUUUUUUAUGUGCAUCUUAUGUGUGAAAAACGUAAAUUCUCGAGUUGAUAUUUGGCUAAAUAAGCUGAAAUUUUCACAACUGUUGAUUGUGAAAAAGAAAUGAUCCAUCAGUCCUUCAGCUAUCUCCAGUUUCUGGAUGUUUCAGUAUAUAUGGCACCUAUUUCGAUAAAUUUUCAAGGUGAUAAUUUUUUAUUUCUAUAUAAAAAGGCAGCUACUUUACCUAAACGUAUUUUUACCAUUAUCUACUGGUAAUGAAAACAAAUUCGAUUUGUUGAUCAAAAAUCCAAAAGCAAUAAUGAACAUCUUAUUUUAAACGUUUAGGCAACAACCUAACGGUGUACAGUACACGUUGAUAUGCUAUUUUAAAAAAGAUGUCUUUUUGAUGUUUUGGACCUUUCAUUUGGAAAUUUCGUAAUUAAUGACACAUCUGCAUGUCUAAAGGAACAUUAAAAAAAAAAAAAACAAUCGUCAAAAUCGGUCAUUAGGAGAGGCUGGUGAACUGUCAUUAGGUUUUUAACGAAUGUUUUUACAAAUUGUUUUAUGUAGUAAAAAAAUAAUAAAUAAAGGAAAUGAAAGAUUUCGAUGUAGCAUAAAAACUUCCUAAAUGAAAUAAUUUUCGUUAACGGAGCUAACUGGAGGUCCCUACGUUUUUUCCACUGGCAGGAAGAGCAUUCAAAGCUCGUUCAAAUGACUGCCGAAUGAAAAUUUCAAAUAUCAGUAUUAGCGGUGAUUAAAUAAUUAACUUUACGGUUUACCUAUACUUCAGCUUUUUUUUUCACUUUAUUCCACAGUACAUACAUUUCAAAGGCUAUUCGCUCGCUGUGCCAAAAUCAAAGUUCCCACUUUCGAUGAUGUAAAAAGUCAGUGUAAAUAUAGUUACUUGUAUGAAAUUAAAAUAAAAGUGCGGCAGCUCAAAUUGAAGAUUAUGAAAAUAAGAAUCUCAAAAAAAAAUGCACUUUUCAUGUAGAACAACUUGAAAAUUGUGAGUAAAUACAAAAUUACUUACUGUGAUAAAUUUUUAAAAAAAAUUUCUUUUUGUUGUGUCGAAAUGUUUUGUGUACAUAAAGUUAUAAUUUUCCUGAUAGAAAGGACGAAUAUGAUUUCUUUCCUGUCGGAGAGCACACCUCAAGAGUGGUUUUUUGACCAGCUUUUUUUCAAUUUAGAAAAUUUAUUUAAAAAAAAAAAAAAUCAAAUUUACUUACUUCAACUCUAAAGUUUACGGGGCUCUUUCGCGCUAGGAGUUUUUCUAAUUUUUUUCAUCUUCUUCCCUGUCAUUUCGGAUUUCCUUCUGAAAUAUAACAAACAAAACACCAUACUUAUAAACUCCUGGAUAACUGUAAGUGAGUUGAUUCCAAGCAGUAAGUAGUUAAACUGAUUCCUAGAUCAUCCAGGGGGGGGGGCUAUUAUCCCUUACGUCAUAUGGCGGACAAAUACCGGGCACAAAACUAUGCGAGAGUCAAUUCAUACACAAAUGAAAAUGACUUGGACAAAGAUACUGCCAAAAAAAACUCGUGAUAAAGUUCUUAAAUUUUGCACGCGAACCUUAAAAACCUGUAGAAAAAGCUCAUUUUGGUGCCAUAAGGCACCUCCCCACCCAAUUUUGGGUCUGAACAAGGUUGGCAAUAUGGGUGUUGUUUUCAUAUGAAUCGAACCUGCUGAACACGAAUUUGAAGUUGAAUUUACAAUUAGACCCUUUUAAGGACCUCAUUUGAGGGGGGUAGAUUACCCUAAAAUUGAAUUUUUCGCGGAAAAUGAAACACUCGUCAAACAUACUGGAUACAUGAUAAAUCACUUUAACAGCUCGAGACGUUGUAAAUCUGAAUUUUAGGAUCAAUCCUGCGUAUCUCCACUCCCAUAUGACAAUCACCAUGUUGUCAAACGUUUCAAAUGGUGUGUCUUUGGUAAUGUUCAGUGAUUGCUAUUGUGUACAUCGGAUUUUUUAAAGUAGAGUUUUACAGGACACUACCUAUGAACAAUUUUAUAAAAACGAAGAAUUACAAUUAGUCAAUGCACAGCAAUAAGACAGUCGAUGUCAAUGUCAACUAAGGAAAAUGGAGAGGGGAGGAGAUGGAGGUGUGUGAUAACAUUCUUCACAAGGACCAUGAAUCAAACUUGAUCAAAAAAGUUGCAGGGCUUAGGUAGCGCUAUAAUAGAACAUUUUUCGCAAAAAACUCAAUUUUAGGGCAAUCUGCCCUCCCACCAAAUGGGGCCCUUAGAAGGGUCCAAGUCAAGUGUCCAACUGUAAAUCCAACUUCAUAUUCGUGUUCAGCGAUGUUCGAUUCAUAUGAAAACGACACCCAUUUUGUCAACCUUUUUCAGACCCCAAAUUGGGUGGGGAGGCCGGAGGUGCCCAUGGCCUCGAAAUGAACUUUUUAAGGAAUUGUUGCAGUUUCUGCACGUUUUCAAAGUUCACAUGCAAAAUUUCAGAACUUCAUCACGAGUAUUUUUUUUGGCAGAGUUUCUUGAGUUUUUUGACGAGGCCCACCUGGAGAAAAAAUAAAUAGAAAAAUUUUAAAAAAAUAUUAGGUACAUACUUAACUGAACAUACAUAUUUUUAGAUUGAAACAAAUGUUGUGUGCUUGAAUCUGGUUCAGAAAUACGGCACGCGGCAGUGUCAAAUUUUCUUUCGCCAAUAUCUCCCCCCCCCAGGUGGGGUGGAGGGGUCCCAAACAUUUUGAAAAAAUUCACGUGACUAGCCUCAUGUUUCCUCCAUAUAUUUUGGGUGAAUUCAAAAAUUUUGUCCAAAACUCGUUGAGGUAUGAUUUUUUUCCCAAAAAAAAGACGUUUUUUCGUCACGCCACUGUGAGCAAGAGGGUGAGGUAGGGGAAAUUUUUUCUAAAAGUACCCAACAAUGUUUCAUCAAAAUUUCAAAAAUCCGAGGGCAGGGGAAUUUCACCUAUUUUACGCGGGAAUACCCUUUCCAAUCGUCAUAAUUUAAUUUUAAAUUGAGACCUCACGAUCUGAUCGCAAUCAUUCUGUUUGUAAAGACGACCGGGAAAGUGGGAAAGUAUGUUUGUAUGUUGUAGAGUGUGAGACAAUAUAGGAUUAAUAGUAAGUAGUAAGACAGUAUGUGGUUUGAAGGGAGACAGGUGAUGUAAAAUGUAAUACGAGCUCAAUUUUUUUUUUUUGUUCAUUGAACUGGGUAACCGAUUGAUCACGCUAAAAAUGCAUUAAUUAGGCAUAAUUACCUACCAACUACAUAUAAAUGAAUGUUACCAGAAUUGAUGUUUAAAUUAUUUGAUUUGAUAGGGAAAUAUUAUAUUGACGAGUGAAGUGAGAUUAUUUUCACAAAUUAUUAAUUACCUACUUGUAGGAUUUGUGUUUGAUUUGACGAGGGUUGAGUGAAAUGUGAUUAUUUUUAAAAAUUAUUAGUGGUCAGGAUUCGAGUUUGAUUUGAUGGUAAAAUUAAGUAUGGUGUGGACUGUGGAGUGAGAUGAGAUGAGAUGAUUUUUACAAAUUAUAAUUUAUAAAUAAUGAUAACACUAUAGGAUUCAUCUUGGCUUCAUCAGUCAUCAAUUUUUAAGAUGUAAUGUCCUAAAAUAGCUAUAAGGCUCAAGAAAUAUUGAAAAAUUGAAAUCAUUCAAAACACAAAAUUUAUUUGUCUCUAAAAAUACAGUUUAUUCAAUUUUCAACAAGAAAAUAAAAAAAAAACUGUAUUUAUUUAAAGGAAGUUGCAGUUGAAAAAAAAGAAAAACACGGUUAAAACAAAAAAAAACUGUUUUAUACGUUUUUUUUUUGUUUUAAACACCACUUAAUAAUUUUUUUUCUUUGUUUUAAACAUGUUUUCAACAUUUUUGUUUUGGUUUUAAACAUGUAUGACCCUGAAAAUGCAUAAAUUAAGUACCUACUUACUAUGAAUUAAUGUUACCAAGAUUAAAUUGUUUAGAUUAUUUGAUUUAAUGAGGAAAUAUUACUUGAUUGAGAUGUGAUGAUUUUUUAAAAGUUAAAAAAUUACCACACCAGUAUACUGGUGUGGUAAUUUUCCGUGCACGGGUAAACUACUCAAGUUUAAAAAUCAGAAGAAGAAAUACUUACUCUGGUUGGGGUUGUUCAUUCUGAAAAAAAAUAAAAUAAAAUUUAAGUACUGACUUGAAGUUGAAAUUAUUAUUGAAACAAAAAAAAUUACUUACUUUGCGUGGUAAAAAAUCGGAUUUUACUAACAAUCAAAUUGCGUUUCGGAACAAGAACAACUCAAAAAAUCGAGAAAAAUCGCCAAUGGCAAUUUGUUUGAAGAUUGCAAUAACGACCAAAAAAUAAUAGCAUAGAUCGACGCAGAAUCUGAAAUACUUUCAUUCAAAGUGUAACGAAAAAUAAGAAAUACUUACUUUGUUGAUUAGGGUUAUUGUUCAUUCCUGAAAGGAAAAACAAAAUUACUGACCUGACGACUGACGUCUUACAAUUAGGAUAAAAUAAUAACAAAAAAAUUACUUACUUGGUGCGGACUAAAGUUGAACAGUAGCUCCACAGUAACAGAAAUUUUGAGAAGACAGAUAACUAAGAAAAGAGCACCUACUCUCGAAUUCGGAACAACUAAACUAGGUAUGUCUAACUGUAUCUGCAAUCUCGGCUUAUGAUUUUGUUAAAAAUUUAGCUAAAAAUGUCGCGUCAGUGUUACCACUACUUAACACUACAACCUGACUAAAGAUCAAUUUUGAUCUUUCGAUUUAAUCAAAGUCAUUGCUAAAAAGAAAAAUUAGUUCAUUUCAGUUGACAUGACAUUUUAAACAAUAUGUAAAAAUUCAAUCUUACAGGUAUAAAGGUUGUCAGAUAUCGUCAAUAUCUUUCUGAAGAUACUGAGACACUGAUCUAAUCAAACUGAAAAAAAUUUUAAUAUAGGUAUUAUUAAUAUACACGUUUUUCAUUUUAUACUACUACGAGUAUAAUACGCUACUGAUCUUGAAUGCCAAUACAUAUUGUUCCUUAAAUAAUCAAAAAUGCAACAAAUAAAGCACAUCACCUCAAGAUUUUGCAUAUUCAGUUUUAUUUUAGGAACUUACUAGUAUGUAUGUACCUACGAGUACUUUCAGCUCAGAGUUUGUUGCAUUAUUAUUUUAAUUAUAAUUAAAACAUUCCAUAAAGAAAGUACCUAUUGAUAAUAAUUUCCAACACAUGACAUAAUGAUUUAUUGUAAUGAUUUUUAAAAUAAAAAUGUUUCAACAGUU